GAUGAACGCUGGCGGCGUGCCUAAUACAUGCAAGUCGAGCGAACAGACGAGGAGCUUGCUCCUCUGACGUUAGCGGCGGACGGGUGAGUAACACGUGGAUAACCUACCUAUAAGACUGGGAUAACUUCGGGAAACCGGAGCUAAAUACCGGAAUAAUAUAUUGAACCGCAUGGUUCAAUAGUGAAAGACGGUUUUGCUGUCACUUAUAGAUGGAUCCGCGCGCAUUAGCUAGUGUAAGUAACGGCUUACCAAGGCAACGAUGCGUAG
rnacentral:rRNA from 1 species